AAAAGGAGGGUAGGUUAUAUUAUAUGUUUUUUUAUGAGUAAUUUUGGCCUUUCUUUGUGUGGUUCUUUUUUACUUAUUUAGACCAUAUCAUCAAGAACUUGUUGGUCGAGAGAAUUGCGAAGUGCAUCCCACGCAUUUAUGUAAGCAGAAUCUGUUAUGCCUUUAUAUAUGCUGUUAUAUUCGCGGAUCCGAAGAAAUUGAGACAAAACAAUUUUGGCAUUAUAAUGGUGCUAUAUUUGCUGUUAUGUUAUGGCGUUAUGAUAUGGUGUUAAAUUUAAAGAUAUUUGCUGUUAUUUUUACUGAUGAUUAUGCAUUAAUACUUGCUGUUAUAUUUGAUGUCACAUGUGACAGCAAAUAUAUCAGCAAAAUAUCAUUGCAAUAAAUAAAAAAUUUUGAAACUGGCACAUUAAUUUUAAAGCGGUAUCACGAGAUGGCAAAAGUGAAAGGAAAAUGAAAUGAAAGCAAUUAAAGUUAAGAAAAAUCUGAAAUAGUUAUUGCUAUCAGCAGUAAUUUUUUUGUAUUUUGUGCAGCUGCUCACGAAACCUUCAAUUUGUCUAUAAUUGAAGAAGUUAAUUGGAACAGCUGUUACGUAACUGCUAAUAGUUUUACUGCUCUUCUUAAUGUACAAAAGAGCUUAUGAUUCAAGCUCCACAUCUUGUAUUGACAACAAUAUAUCCAACUCACAACAAGUUAGGUUUCUAUCUGAUUUAAAUAAAGCUGACACAGCUCAAUCAACUCAUGCCAAAAGUUCAUCUAUUUUAAAUAAUUGUGUAGAUUUUGUGGUUCCACCAAAGAAAAUAACUUAGAACUCAGAAAACCAAUAUAUGGCUGGAGAAUCUUGUAUGAGUGUUGUGCAGCUUCCAGUUAGACAAUUAUCUUCAUCAGUUAUACAAUAUAGUGCAUCUAAAAACAUCUUCGAGACACCACGAAAGGCUUUAACAGUUCUUUUUGAUUCUGAUGAGGUUUCUCACUAAAGGACCUUUUUUAGUAUAUCUACUUUGAACUUUUUACACAAGUAAAAACAAUGAUAUUUUUAAAGAGCACCUGAAAAAUUAUAUUCUUCAGUAUUCUCAAGUUGCUCUUCCUUCAGACAGUUGGCACUUCUUUUAAAUUUUCAAAACUAUUUGGAACCUUCGUCUGAUAAUCUGCUCGAUGAAUUAAAGGUACCUGCAAAGUAUGGUCCGCAAGUUCUGUAUAACUUAACACAAUAUGGCGUUCACAGUAGAUCAGGGUGUGAAAUGAUCAACACAGAGUUACGGACGGUUAAAAAGGUUUUAUGCGUUAUUGUUUGCAUAUACUAUUUGUUAGACCUCGCUUAUCCAUCUUCUUUUUCACAACUGAUGGGUCUUUUUCAUGAGGUGUUGCUAAACGAAUGCUUUGAAAAAAAAUCAAAAAAGACUUGCUCUUAUAUUGCUCAUAUAAACAGUUAACUAAAUUUUUUGAUGUCUUUAAGUAACGCUAGUUGUUUUCUUUAUUAAUUUAUUAAAAUUUUUCAUUUUAUAUUUAAGUUGUUACUUAAAGAACAAGU